GGGGAUGUAGCUCAGUUGCCAGUGCACGACACCUCACCACCACCUCGCCCGCAACAGGGCCGAGGGCUGGGGGUUACCGGUCGCGAGUUCGAAUCUUGCCAUCCCCA
rnacentral:tRNA from 1 species